rnacentral:rRNA from 1 species
UAGUCCACGCCGUAAACGAUGAGAACUAGAUGUCGGGGGAAUUUGUCCUUCGGUGUCGCAGCUAACGCGUUAAGUUCUCCGCCUGGGGAGUACGCCGGCAACGGUAAAACUCAAAGGAAUUGACGGGGACCCGCACAAGCGGUGGAGCAUGUGGUUUAAUUCGAUGCAACGCGAAGAACCUUACCUGCCCUUGACAUUGACAGAACCCUUUAGAGAUAGAGGGGUGCCUUCGGGCCUGGAAAACAGGUGCUGCAUGGCUGUCGUCAGCUCGUGUCGUGAGAUGUUGGGUUAAGUCCCGCAACGAGCGCAACCCUUGUCUUUAGUUGCCAUCAUUUAGUUGGGCACUCUAGAGAGACCGCCGGUGACAAACCGGAGGAAGGUGGGGACAACGUCAAGUCAUCAUGGCCCUUAUGGGGCAGGGGCUACACACGUGCUACAAUGGCCAGUACAGAGGGGUUGCCAAGCUGCAAAGUGGAGCCAAUCCCCCAAAGCUGGGUCGUAGUCCGGG